rnacentral:rRNA from 1 species
CAAUAGCGUAUAUUAAAGUUGUUGCGGUUAAAAAGCUCGUAGUUGGAUUUCUGUUGUGGACGAUCGGUCCGCCCUCUGGGUGAGCGUCUGACUCGGCCGCGACAUCUUCUUGGGGAACGUUUCUGCACUUGACUGUGUGGAGCGGUAUCCAGGACUUUUACUUUGAGGAAAUUAGAGUGUUUCAAGCAGGCGCACGCCUUGAAUACAUUAGCAUGGAAUAAUAAGAUAGGACCUCGGUUCUAUUUUGUUGGUUUCUAGAGCUGAGGUAAUGAUUAAUAGGGAUAGUUGGGGGCAUUCGUAUUUAACUGUCAGAGGUGAAAUUCUUGGAUUUGUUAAAGACGGACUACUGCGAAANCANNNGCCAAGGAUGUUUUCAUNGA